rnacentral:rRNA from 1 species
UGGUCAAUGGGCGAAACCCUGAACCAGCCAUGCCGCGUGAAGGAGGACAGCCCUACGGGUUGUAAACUUCUUUUGUACGGGAAGAAACACUUCUACGUGUAGAAGCUUGACGGUACCGUACGAAUAAGCAUCGGCUAACUCCGUGCCAGCAGCCGCGGUAAUACGGAGUGAUGCAAGCGUUAUCCGGAUUCAUUGGGUUUAAAGGGUACGUAGGCGGAAGAUUAAGUCAGUGGUGAAAUCCUGCAGCUUAACUGUAGAACUGUCAUUGAUACUGAUCUUCUUGAAUAUAGUUGAGGUAGGCGGAAUGUGUAAUGUAGCGGUGAAAUGCUUAGAUAUUACACAGAACACCGAUUGCGAAGGCAGCUUACUAAACUAUGAUUGACGCUGAGGUACGAAAGCGUGGGGAGCGAACAGGAUUAGAUACCCUGGUAGUCCACGCUGUAAACGAUGAUCACUCGUUGUUGGCGAUAUAGUGUCAGCGACUGAGCGAAAGCAUUAAGUGAUCCACCUGGGGAGUACGAUCGCAAGAUUGAAACUCAAAGGAAUUGACGGGGGCCCGCACAAGCGGAGGAACAUGUGGUUUAAUUCGAUGAUACGCGAGGAACCUUACCUGGGCUUAAAUGUAGAACGACGGAUCGGGAAACUGAUCCUUCUUCGGACGGUCUGCAAGGUGCUGCGUGGCUGUCGUCAGCUCGUGCCGUGAGGUGUCGGGUUAAGUCCCAUAACGAGCGCAACCCUCAUCAUUAGUUGCCAGCGGGUAAUGCCGGGGACUCUAAUGAAACUGCCGGUGUAAACCGAGAGGAAGGUGGGGAUGACGUCAAGUCAGCACGGCCCUUAUGUCCAGGGCUACACACGUGUUACAAUGGUCGAUACAAAGGGCAGCUACCUGGUGACAGGAUGCUAAUCUCUAAAAUCGGUCUUAGUUCGGAUCGAAGUCUGCAGCUCGACUUCGUAAAGCUGGAUUCGCUAGUAAUCGCGCAUCAGCCACGGCGCGGUGAAUACGUUCCCGGGCCUUGUACACACCGCCCGUCAAGCCAUGGAAGCUGGGGGUACCUGAAGUCCGUAACCGUAAGGAGC